AAGGCAGCAUCUCUUGGAGAUAACUUCUUGGUGGAGAUUGCCUCAGUGCUUCCUAGCAGACUGAGAGCUUCCAUGUGGGUGACUUUUUCCUAUGAAUUUAAAGAUCUACAUCUAAAUUCACUGGCUGGGGAUCAGCUUAAUAGGAAAUACCAUACCUGAAUGUCCACAAAUCCUCGUCUUCAUCCAGCUGCAGUGUACCAACAGCAUGUGGGAUUCCUACCUACCUGUUAGAAUCACUUAUUAAGUACCACUUGCCAGUUCAGUAAUUGUAGGGUUCUGUUUCAGAGAGUCAGAGAAUCUCAGAAGUAUAGAAAGGCUGAGAUUAAAAGAAACCUCUGGAGGCUGUCUGGUCCAAAUCUCUUGCUCAGUCAAGUCCACCAAAAGCAUGAUGCCCAGCACCAUGUCCAUGUGGCUUCUGAAGAUGUCCAAGGAAGGAGACCCUACACACUCUCUGGAUAGUCUGUUCUCCAUCAUCCACACAGCAUGGAAGUACUUCCUGGUGUUCAGACAGAACAUACUGUGGUCAAGUAUGUGUCUGUGUCCUGUCCUGAUACUGGACACAACCAAAGAGAGCCUGCCUCCAUCCUCUUUGUACCUUCCAUUUGGAUAUUAAUAGACAUUAAUGAGAUUCACCUGAGCCUCCUCUUUCCAGGCGGAACAACUCCAACUCUUUCAGUCUCUCCUCAUCAGAGACAUUCUCUAGUUCCUUCAUCAUUAUGGUCCUUCACUGGACCCUUUCCAGGAUGUCCAAAUACCUCUUGUCUCAUCAGUGCUGAGCAGAACAGAAAUUCCCCAACCUUGAUGGACUGACAGCAUUUUACCUAUAGUAGUCCAGGAUACCCUCAAAGCCUUAUUUCCUGCAAGUGCACACUGCUGGCUCAUGUCCAGUUUGAUGUGUACCAGUA